rnacentral:rRNA from 1 species
GUCUCAGGCCGUAUCAGCCUGAAGGCGCUCGAUCUCGUCUGAUCUCGGAAGCUAAGCAGGGUCGGGCCCGGUUAGUAUCUUGGAUGGGAGACCACCUGGGAAUCCCGGGUGCUCGACG